AACGAACGCUGGCGGCAUGCCUAACACAUGCAAGUCGAACGAAGCCUUCGGGCUUAGUGGCGCACGGGUGCGUAACGCGUGGGAACCUGCCUUUCGGUUCGGAAUAACAGUUAGAAAUGACUGCUAAUACCGGAUGAUGUCUUCGGACCAAAGAUUUAUCGCCGAAAGAUGGGCCCGCGUAGGAUUAGCUAGUUGGUGGGGUAAAGGCCUACCAAGGCGACGAUCCUUAGCUGGUCUGAGAGGAUGAUCAGCCACACUGGGACAGAGACACGGCCCAGACUCCUACGGGAGGCAGCAGUGGGGAAUAUUGGACAAUGGGCGAAAGCUUGAUCCAGCAAUGCCGCGUGAGUGAUGAAGGCCUUAGGGUUGUAAAGCUCUUUUACCAGGGAUGAUAAUGACAGUACCUGGAGAAUAAGCUCCGGCUAAUUCCGUGCCAGCAGCCGCAGUAAGAC
rnacentral:rRNA from 1 species